rnacentral:tRNA from 1 species
GGAAGGGUGGCUGAGCGGUUGAAAGCACCGGUCUUGAAAACCGGCGUAUCAGCAAUGAUACCGUGGGUUCGAAUCCCACCCCUUCCGCCA